UCCUUCACCCAGGAGAGGUCAGCUGGUGAAAAUCCAUUGGGAUUUUCCCAAAGUCGAACCCAACCCUCCAGCUCCACCGGAAACAUGUCAGAACACAUAAUUACACAACUUUGCGCACAUAAUAAUUAUGUGUAAAUAUACAAAUAUGCAUUACUCACUGGGGAGUUGCUCUGCAGAGGUUCCAGAGGUUCUGGUACAUGACUUAUGGAUGAGGACAUCUUUGGUGUGGACGAAGACUUCUUUAAUGAUGGUGUAUUUAGCCACCGGCUGACAGAGCUGUAGGCCUUCUGGAUGGAAUCCCUCUGGCUCACACUAAAAUCGUCUGGCCUGGCCUUCUGGACAGAGUAUUGGCUGUAGAGCUCCCACAUCUCCUGAAAGCCCACAUCAUUUGACACAAGCCUGUGAAAUGAAGCAUUCAGAUAUUGGCCAAAUGGCAGCACCAACUUCCCCAGACACUGUUGUCUUGAUGGUGCUGGAAUCCCUUCAGCACGAAGAGCUCUUUCAGCAUGGACAAGGGCAGUGGCCUUGUUCAGCAGGUGGCAGCCGUCUCUCCUUGUGGGCACAGGCCUCGUUUGUCGCCACCAAUAAGGCCUGUUGACGACCCUCUGGAGCAGUGGGGUUUUGAAGGCGGAUGACUGGAUUCGCCAUAUCAAGGGCACCUUUAAUUUGUGUUCCGAAGAUUAAUGAAGGUCUUACGGGUGUGGAACGGCAUGAGGGAUGCCACCAGCCAGGAAAGACCAUAUUAUCUACAAAGUGUAUAGGGUACAGUCUCGCUCUGGACCAAGGAGACGUCCGUGCAAAUUCAGGGUGUUUUGCCUGCGACUGAGACUAUACUCAAUUUGUGGGUAGUCAGGAGGAGACAGAGACUGCGCUGGAGGCAGCUCU